CUAAUUUCCCCCAUGAAACCCGAUAAAAUUGGAACGAUACAGAGAAUAUUAACAUGGUUUCUGCGCAAGAAUAACAAGCACAAAUCGAGAAAUAUUCUAAAUUAUU